UCAGCUUCCACACCCCGCACCUACUCUCAGGCAUCCCUGAACUCUAGGACUGUGCAGAGAGGGCCGGCCUAGUCCCCAGUCCAUCUUCCUGGGGCCAGCAGUUACCCUCUUCCACUCCUGACACGGAGAAGAGAAGGUUCUUGUUGCCGGGAAGAUACACCAGGGCCUCUGGGAGUCAGGGCUCCCAGGCGUCUCUCAGCAACGGAGGACUCUUCCUCACGUGUCCCCGGACAGCAAGACUGAGGCGCUCUCCUGAGAAUGGGUACCAAGUGUGAAGAUAACUUUUGUUAUAAGCAGAUGCCCUGCAAAGUCAUCUGCUGUAGAGGAAGCUUCAAUAACCCAGCCAACGAGCUGCUCACCGGGUUGUGAGGGACAUCACCUAGACAAAUGCAUAUACUUUAUAGCAUAAUGAAAUGGAUAAAACCUAAAAGAUUUCAUUUUUGGAAAGAUGGCAGUAAGGAUCAGGGACCAGUA